UACGAAGGGUGCUAGCGUUGUUCGGAAUAACUGGGCGUAAAGCGCAUGUAGGCGGAUCUUUAAGUCAGAGGUGAAAUCCCAGGGCUCAACCCCGGCAUUGCCUUUGAUACUGGGGAGCUGGAGUCUGGGAGAGGUGAGUGGAAUUCCGAGUGUAGAGGUGAAAUUCGUAGAUAUUCGGAGGAACACCAGUGGCGAAGGCUGCUCCCUGGCCCGAGACUGACGCUGAGAUGCGAAAGCGUGGGGAGCAAACAGG
rnacentral:rRNA from 1 species